rnacentral:rRNA from 1 species
CGGAUGAACGCUAGCGGGAGGCCUAAUACAUGCAAGUCGAGCGGUAGAGUGACUUCGGUUGCUUGAGAGCGGCGCACGGGUGAGUAACGCGUACAUGACCUACCUUUAAGACUGGGAUAGCCCUGGGAAACUGGGAUUAAUACCGGAUGUGAUAAUACGUAUAGAGAUGUAUUAUUAAAGUUGAGGCGCUUAGAGAUGGAUGUGCGUCUGAUUAGCUAGUUGGUAGGGUAACGGCCUACCAAGGCGACGAUCAGUAGGGGGCGUGAGAGCGUGGCCCCCCACACGGGUACUGAGACACGGACCCGACUCCUACGGGAGGCAGCAGUAAGGAAUAUUGGUCAAUGGACGGAAGUCUGAACCAGCCAUCCCGCGUGCAGGAAGACUGCCCUAUGGGUUGUAAACUGCUUUUAUAGUAGAAGAAACACAUCUACGUGUAGAUGUCUGCCAGUAUACUAUGAAUAAGCAUCGGCUAACUCCGUG